CGUAGGGUGCAAGCGUUAUCCGGAAUUAUUGGGCGUAAAGAGCUCGUAGGCGGUUUGUCGCGUCUGCUGUGAAAACUGGAGGCUCAACCUCCAGCCUGCAGUGGGUACGGGCAGACUAGAGUGCGGUAGGGGAGAUUGGAAUUCCUGGUGUAGCGGUGGAAUGCGCAGAUAUCAGGAGGAACACCGAUGGCGAAGGCAGAUCUCUGGGCCGUAACUGACGCUGAGGAGCGAAAGGGUGGGAGCAAACAGGCUU
rnacentral:rRNA from 1 species